UUUUUUUUUUUUUUUUUUCAUUUUUUUAGAUUAACAAGUGUUUACAAAAGAUACCAUAGUAACUGGUACCUUUGGUUGGAGUUCAGUGGCUGAAUAGAGAGAAAAGACUUUAUGUUCUGAGGGAGAGAGUGUAGCGAUCAUUUGCCUUAAUCUUUAUCUUUUCCAUGGAGAAAGAAAAAAUCAAAGUCUUGUUUCUUGGGUCAGUAGCAGGAAAUCCUUUGGGAUUUCAUUUUGACGGGCUGUAGUUUUCAUGAAUAUCAGGGGCCAAACUCUAUUGUCAGUGUACAGAUUAAAAUUCACUGCAAUAGACACCAUGUUAAAUGCAAUUAAAAUUGAGCAGUAUCAAGUUUCAUUUUUUGUUAAGAAUUUAAAAUUUCUAUUCUUUUGGACACCUGGAUACUUUUGGCCAUUUAUGAUUGUGGAGUACACCACUGUUUGUUGUUAGAAAUGCAGUGGGAUUAUUGAGUAAAGCUGUGUAUCACACUAACAUUAGCUCUAUCACUGGAUAUUCUUCCAAUGGGAGAUGCAUAGAUGCUGUACAUGGUUAUAGUCAAUUGUCAAUAAAUCCAUUUGCUGAAAGAAAAUUUGUGUCUUACCUUGUAUCUCAUCAUGCAUCCUUCUUCAAUCAUAGAUUGGCUGUAACUUCUUCAUUUUAUGAGCACAAGGAUUGUGGACAAUGUCUUAUCAUUCUUUUCAUAUCUUUUGAUAUGAAACAACAUAUAUAGUGUUUCCUAUUUUGUUUUUAAUAUGUGUGGACAGUGCAAACAGAAAAAUAACUAAAAUGGGCAGUUCUGGAACAGGUAGCCCACUGUCUCAAGAUGGGCUAAUAAGGUGCUGUUACAUCUCGUGCUGAACUAUUGAUCCUUUAUAAGGAAAAUUAAGAAAAAAUGAGUGUGUGGGAUCAUACCAGUAGUUUAUGCUCAUUGGAAGUUACAGUUCUGAGGGUUUUUCAGUAUUAUCAGACUAAUGAUAUCAGCAUGUCUUGUUCAGCAUAUGCAUGUUGUUCUAAUUAAGAAUUCACUCUUUCUAUUUCAAUUUUUGCAAACAUCUGGAGAAAUGCUAGAAUGAAAUAAAACCGGGGUUUUUUUUGUUUGUUUGGGUUUUUUUUGGUUUUUUUUUUUUUUUUUUUUUUUUUCAGCCUAGGAGAAGUAGAUACAUAGAUCUGCACAACAGCAACAACAAAAAGAGUUAACAAUGAAGCUGUUGAUUUUUUUAAAGCCACAAAUUUUGUAACUCUAGGAAUACUUACAGGCUUUGUCUGCAGAUAUUACUUGCAGCAUCUUUGCAGGGAGGGAACUGUACUAGUAAGUGGUUGAGGAAAGAAAUGUCAGUGACCUUGAAUGACUGAAAAAUGUAAAUAUAACGGCUCUGUUUUUACCAGUAGUAUUUAUAUGUAUCUGGGUCUUUUUUAAAGUAAACUCCUUUCUAAAGAAUGACUGCAAAAACAGCCCUUUCUAAAUGGAUGAAUCUGCCCUCAAGCUGUGCUCAAAAUGUUUAUCCAUCUAGCAGAAAUAGUUUUACUGCUGUGUCCUCUCAUGGAAUCCAUGCAGCUCAGGGAAAAGUGAACUCUUCUGCUGAGUAAUUACUGAACAUGGUAUAUAUCAAAGAUUGAAAAUCACCAAAAUACUGCCCUAUCAAAUUAAGUGGGCUGCUGCUGGGGAGUCUGCAAGAGGUACCAGGGCUUCCCUAGUGCCAGCACUGCCUGAUUUGGCAGCCUCUGUCACCUCCUGCUCCCCUUCUUAAAUUCCUGAUUUCACUUCAUCCAGCUGGCAUGGUUGGUUGUGCAGCUGGAAGGUGAACUGUGAAACUGAUCCUUCUGGAAAAUAACCUUUCCUAGCACCUCCCCUCUCCCCUAUUUUUCAUCCAGCUCAGUUUCUUUGGUUCUGUUUAACUCACACAAGUACUUGUGGAGUUCAGAGGCAGGAAAAAACAGUCAAGGAUGGGAAUCCGCUUAAAAAAUCUCAGUCUUGACAUUCAGCUUAACCACAGUUUAAGAAAAUCUAGGCUAUUCACAUUAGAGAAAAAUCCUCUGUAGGUGAUAGAGCUUUACUGGAAAUUAUUAAUGAUCAACAGAAUUGAAAAUGCUUAGAACUUCUCUUUAAGAUCCUAGAAAUUUUGAGGUUAUGGCAUGGGCUAGAAAGAAACAAUCUGGAGAGAGCACAGGUACAAUGGUGUCAGUGAAUGUCUACAUGUGGAUGAAUGCCCUUUGUCAAAAAGCACUGCUUGACUAUCAGAGCCUGAGUUAGCACAGUUAAAUUUAUAAAAAUGUUGAUUUCUUUAUGCCGUGUUGUUUACUUUUCACAAUGGAAUGCAAGUGCCACAUUUUAAAAUAUCAUCAACGUUUGAACCCUUACAAGAAGGGGCUAGAUAAAGUAUGCAUGUCUCUUGUGCCUUUUCCUUUCUGCUCCUUCCUGGAAGAGAUUUGAAAAAUGAGGAUUUGGGAGGGGAAAAAAAGUCUGCUCCAGGAUAUAUAUUUGUCUAUUCAUCAGGAUAUUUAUUAAUUAGUAAACUAACUUUCUGAUUGUAGGGGAUGAGUCUACAAAAUCAUCUGUUUCCAUGACAGUAUACAUAUUUGUAGAAAACUCCACCAGUGAACAAGAGAAAUACUGCUUGAUUUCCAAAAAUCUGGCUGCUCCCACUAAUUUAUGUUUCUCUGGCCACCAAGGGUGUACAUAUGUUGUGUAAGGUCCAUGAGCCAAGUUUUGGUUGAAAAAAUUAUUUAAAAAAAUAAUUAAUUAAAUCAGACAAAUUAUGCAUGCAUAGGGAUGUACUUGAUUUUUUCAUGGGGCAACUCCUUUGAGACAAGUUGUUUUAUAAAUGUUGAAUCUAUAAUCUGGUAUUUUCUAAGUAUAUAUGAGGAAUAAGGAUUAGGAAACAGUGUGUGCUGGAUGUUGGAUUUGUCCUUUUUGCUCCAUGCUAAAUAUAGCAUCGUUUUGGCAGCUUGUCCAAACACUGCUGUUGUGUUUUUCUCCAUAAGAAGUUGACUUUUCUCAAGUGCAUACUUUAAUUCCCAUAGAAAUUAAAUUCCUGUAGAAAAAUAGACAAUUGUGUUUAAACACAAAUAUUUAUCUUAGUAUCAUUGUACAUGACUUUAUUUAUAGAGAUGCUCCUUGAUAAAUCUUUUAAAAUAAAUUGAUAUCUCAUUUGUUUUUACAAACAAGACCAUAAGAAUUAGAAUGAAUAAUACAGUAUGAAUAAAUAGUUAGAGGAAAACUAUUUCAAACAUAGUAGAGAUAUUUACUAACAAAGAGGAAUCUGACACUUUAAAGAGACUUUAUGAGUUUUUAUGCUGUGACACACAUCUCCUUUGUUGUUGGAUUUUAAAAGGUACAUUUAUUUAUCGUUUGAUAAUCUAGGUUUACUAAUUCUAUGUUGUAAAAAUAAACUGUUUGUUGUCCAGAAACGGGAAGACCCCCACGUAAAUAAAUCUCAGAAGCUAUUGAGUGUGAAAAAUAAAGUUGGCGUACUGUUAAAAGUAUUUAUGCUCACCAAAGUAUAACCUGAUUUUUCAUUGCAAAUUGCAUUUGAAGCUGUUGCCAAGUAAAGCAGUCUUUAGCUAAUAAAUUAUGGUGUUUCUUGA
ensembl:lncRNA